ACCCAGCUCCGCGCCGCAGGGUCAGACUCUCUUCCUUUCUCAUCAGUUGUGCAUAAAACACCUUCCGGUCUUUUCUCCGUGCGAUUCUUGCGGCAGGUGUGACCUUUCUUUGCGUGGCGACUCUGGUGCCGGGUUGAUUACCUCUGGUUAAAUUCAUCGGUGGUUCUGGUGGGAAUGAAUCAUUCGAUAAUCUUGUAAUUCAAGCUCCACAGCUUAUGAGGGAGGAUUACAUACAGAAUGCUGUGAAGUUUCUUUCACAUCCGAAAGUGAAGGGUUCUCCAGUAUUUCACAGGCGUUCCUUCCUGGAAAAGAAAGGCCUUACAAGUGAAGAAAUUGAUGAGGCCUUUUGUAGAGUUCCUGACCCUAAGCCAAAUGGAACAGAUGCUGUAGCUGCUGGUAGGCAACAAGCAAACAAUCCCAGUCAAUCUGUUGUGCUGCAACCUUAUACAGAAGUUCAACCACAAGCAGCUACUGCCUCUGCCACUGCUGGACCAAUUGUUCCACAUACAAAGGCACAGUUGAGCUGGGUAAACACACUCCUUGGUGCAGGUCUUUUUCUUGGUUUAGGGGCUAGUGCUGCCAUAACCCUAAAGAAAUUGGUCAUCCCUAGUCUGAAAUCUUGGACUCGUAGAGUCGUUGCUGAAGGAGAUGAAAAUGCAAAGAGUGAACAUACUUCCAAACUUUGUGAAGAAAUUAGGGAAGCCAUAAAAGUUUCUGCAUCAGCCUUUUCUGAUAUUGCUAAAAUAAACCAAGAAGUGCUUGCUUCAAAAGAUGAAGAUAGGAAGGUACUCAUGAAGUUAACAGAAGCAUUCGAGUCACAAGAAAAUGUGUUUAAAUCAUUGAGUGAGACCUUAAAUCGUAUCAGGGAGAAUCAGCUUUCGGAUUGCAAUUUCAGAAAUUUUGGGCUGCUCAAUUCAGCCCUCAUUACCCUUUUGCCAAAGCUUGAGGGUGCAGCCCUUGUGAAGGACUUCCGUCCGAUCAGCCUCAUACAUAGCUUCGCCAAGCUGGUAACAAAGAUGAUGGCAAAUAGGCUGGCUGGACACUUGGGUGCAAUGGUUUCACCCAAUCAGACGGCUUUUAUCAAAAAAAGGUUCAUUCUUGACAACUUCAUAUUGGUGCAGCGUACGGCCAGAUAUCUCCAUCAACAAAGACAGGCUCGUAUCCUCUUCAAGUUAGACAUUUCUAAGGCUUUUGAUUCGGUGUCAUGGCCGUUUCUCAUUGAGGUUUUGAGGAAAAUGGGGUUUGGGCAGAUUUGGUGUGAUGUUGUGUGUGGACUGUUGGCUUCUUCCUCCACAAGAAUUUUGCUAAAUGGCGUUCCUGGGGAGAUCAUUUCACACCAGAGGGGCCUUAGGCAAGGAGACCCACUAUCCCCUUUGUUGUUCAUUUUGGUUAUGGAUGUUCUGAACUUGCUCAUUCAAAAGGCUUCCGAUGAAGGGUUACUUCAGCAGCUAUCUUCUGGGACUUUACAUCACAGGCUUUCUCUCUACGCGGAUGACGCGGUGGUUUUUCUUAGGCCGGUGGCUUCAGACAUCAGCUUGGUCCUGGAGAUCCUUCGGCUUUUUGGGGAAGCCUCGGGGCUCAAGACCAAUGUCCUGAAAAGUAGUGUGUUCCCCAUUCGUUGUACCGAAGAUGAUUUGAUGCGGGUCCAAGCUUCUCUCCCCUGCCCCAUUUCUGAUUUUCCGUGUCAAUAUCUUGGACUGCCCCUGUCCUUGGGAAAGCUUUCAAAGGCCCAGUUACAGGCAUUGGUGGACAAGGCAGCUAGUGUUCUCCCAGGUUGGAAGGCCGACCUGAUGACAAAGGCGGGUCGUGCUGUUUAUGUUCAGUUUGUUCUCACGGCAAAAAUGAUUUAUGCUGCGAUGGCUUUGGACCUCCCUAUUUGGACCAUCAAAGCUAUUGACAAGAUAAGAAGAGGUUUCCUUUGGAAAGGAAGAAAACAAGCCAAUGGUGGUCACUGUUUAGUGGCGUGGGGCAAGGUCACUAGGCCUAAAGUUCUGGGCGGCCUUGGGAUCACUGAUCUUUGGCUUUUGAGCGUGGCGCUUCGAGCUAGGUGGCCUUGGCUCCAGAGAACCGAUCACUCUAAGCCUUGGUCGGUUCUCCCUGUUCAGGCAUGUGGUGCGGUGGAAGCCUUGAUCAAUGUUGCAGUUGUGUCUCAAUUGGGUGAUGGACAGGAUAUCCUCUUUUGGAAGGAUCGGUGGCUGAAUGGUAGAAGAAUCAGUGAGGUGGCACCUGAGGUUCUUGAGCAUGUACCUAAGUGUGUUGUUUCCAAAAGGCUGGUAAAAGAUGCUUUAACAAAUCUGAAUUGGGUGGCUGAUAUAAGGGGUGCGCUUUCAGUUAGGGCGCUUGCACAGGUUUUGGAUCUCUGUGACUUGCUGGAGGGCUUAGUUCUUCAACCUGGGAUUCCUGAUAAGCAUUCUUGGAAGUUCAGCGCGUCGGGGGAUUACUCCUCUAGUUCUGCCUACCAGGUUCUUCUCCUUGGAGCUGUUGAAUUUAGGCCGGCUGAACGGAUUUGGAAGACCUGGGCACCAAGGAAAUGCAAAUUUUUUAUGUGGCUGGUUGUGCAUGAUAGAUGUUGGACAGCUGACAGGUUGGCAAAAAGGGGAAUGGAUCAUCCCGUCUGCUGUCCGCUUUGUGACCAGGCGGAUGAAACUAUUAAUCACUUAUUGGUCGAGUGCAGCUUUGCGAAGCAGUUUUGGUUCCUUUUCCUUCGGUCUGGGGACUUCCAGGUGCUCUGUCCCUCUACAGGGGAUGGCUGCUUUGACUCUUGGUGGGAGAAGAGUGCCGAGGUGGUGGGCAAGCCUUUGUCGGGUGGUUUCAACUCGCUGGUCAUAUUGGGUGCGUGGUCGAUCUGGAAACACAGGAAUAGGUGUGUGUUUGAUGGUUGUAGCCCGAAUGUUGAGGUCGCCCUUUCGGCAGCUAGGGAGGAGUUGAUGUGCUGGCGUUUGGCUGGCGCUAAAACUCUCUCUUUCUUCCAUUUAGAGGAGCUGUCUUAGGCGUUAAUGGUGGUGUGAGUUUGUAAAACUGUUGUUUCUGUUUUGGGGUUCCCCCCUUUUUUCUUCUUAAUAUAAAAAUACGCAGACCUCCUGCGUAUUCAAGAAAAAAACAACACAGCCUAUUGGAAGAGCAUGUUCAGCCUUCAUCAUGGAACGGGCCAAUUGACUAUCAAGGGAGAGCUUUUCAGCAAACUAAUAUGUAUGCAACACCACCAAACAACAGUUUUGACACAGGGAGGAACUCAUUCAUGCCAUUAGCUGCUGAAUCUUCUUAUGGACCAUUUCCAGGAUCCUACUCUGAGCAGCGGGUGCAGAGGCCUGGUGGAUACGGAUUCCAGCAACAGACAAGCAGCGACCGAUUGAAUGUUGUUGGCCCACGGAGCAGCUACCAAGGGGGUUCUUCUAAUCACCAUGCUGGUAGUAAUGCCAUGGAUGACCCGGCAGCGGUUGCAGCAGAAUUGCAGCGCCGCUGGGUUCCCCCACAGCCACCAGGCGUCAUCAUGCCAGAGGCUGCGGCCGCCAUCCGACAGGCCAGGUCGGUUCCGAGGCAGCUGCCAAGCGGCGAUGGGCGCCUGGGCGCUGAUGUCCCGAGACAGCCUGAGCCUGCCAUUGCCAUGGCGACAACAGAGCACGUGAACGUUGCCCCUGAAGCACCUGGCGGGGAGUUGCCAAGCGAUGGUGGUGGUGCCAUGACUGCUGAUGCCAGCAACGGUGGUGGGAGUGGAGAGCAGCAGGAGCAGGAAGCCUCUUGAGUGAAGCUUUUUGGACGCCCUUUGAUUUGGUUCUUUGAGAGGAUCUAGCUUGCACCUGUACCUGUGUGUGUAGCAUAUGCAUAUGCAUCUGCAUAGGUUUGUGACAUAAUGUGCCUCGUGUUCGAAACUGCAGCUGUAUUGUAGAUAUAUAAACUGAUCAACUUUACACGUGUGUUACCUGUGUGUUCUGUCA